rnacentral:rRNA from 1 species
AGUGAACGCUGGCGGCAUGCCUAACACAUGCAAGUCGAACGGCAGCACAGUAAGAGCUUGCUCUUACGGGUGGCGAGUGGCGGAAGGGUGAGGAAUACAUCGGAAUCUACUUUUUCGUGGGGGAUAACGUAGGGAAACUUACGCUAAUAACGCAUACGACCUACGGGUGAAAGCAGGGGAUCUUCGGACCUUGCGCGAUUGAAUGAGCCGAUGUCGGAUUAGCUAGUUGGCGGGGUAAAGGCCCACCAAGGCGACGAUCCGUAGCUGGUCUGAGAGGAUGAUCAGCCACACUGGAACUGAGACACGGUCCAGACUCCUACGGGAGGCAGCAGUGGGGAAUAUUGGACAAUGGGCGCAAGCCUGAUCCAGCCAUACCGCGUGGGUGAAGAAGGCCUUCGGGUUGUAAAGCCCUUUUGUUGGGAAAGAAAAGCAGCAGGUUAAUACCCCGCUGUUCUGACGGUACCCAAAGAAUAAGCACCGGCUAACUUCGUG